AGAGUUUGAUCCUGGCUCAGAAUCAACGCUGGCGGCGUGCCUCAGACAUGCAAGUCGAACGAUUAAAGCUCUCUUCGGAGAGUGCAUAGAGUGGCGCACGGGUGAGUAACACGUAAGUAAUCUACCCUCGAGUGGGGAAUAACAUCGGGAAACCGAUGCUAAUACCGCAUAAUGCAGCGGCACCGCAAGGUGACAGUUGUUAAAGAUUUAUCGCUUGAGGAGGAGCUUGCGGCAGAUUAGCUAGUUGGUAAGGUAAUGGCUUACCAAGGCUACGAUCUGUAACCGGUCUAAGAGGACGGUCGGUCACACUGACACUGAAUAACGGGUCAGACUCCUACGGGAGGCAGCAGUCGGGAAUUUUGGGCAAUGGGCGAAAGCCUGACCCAGCAACGCCGCGUGAAGGAUGAAGUAUUUCGGUAUGUAAACUUCGAAAGAAUAGGAAGAAUAAAUGACGGACUAUUAUAAGUC
rnacentral:rRNA from 1 species